AUAUUAACAUAACAAAUUAAAUAAUCGUUCUCAUGUGACAAAACAUCAUAUGACUGUGUGGAACAAAUCCAAGUCAGUGAUUUUGGGCAGAGAGGUGCCAUUAAUAGAGCGUUGAUAAUAAUUGCGUGUGAUAUACCAAUUAGGGUGUUUGUAGCUCAGACCGACUGACAUUAAUUUAAAAAUAUGCAAAGUACGUAUUUUGUGACUACUUCAAGGAAAACAGAAACGGGAUUUUGAGCGAUAUCAGUUUGGGUGAAUAACACGAUUAGCCUCACUUGGAAACAGCCUAUCAAUAUUGCUAAAUUCUAAUAUCACAGGCAGUAUUCUGGUCUUGUUCCGAGUGGUUUAGAUUUAUAUGCAAAAGUGGCGAUCGAAUAGGGAAAUCUUAACCGAUUUACCUUCUGUUCAAGGCGAAGUACUCUUACUAUCAAGGAUUUAAUUUGGUCUAUUAGUACUCACCUCCUUCUUCCACAUGUGUUCCAUGUUUGAGGUGGUGCAGGUGGGCGUAGUAGUGAUGAUGAUGAAGAAUACACUCUAGAUCCGUGCAAUUUAACAUCUUCACUCAGCGCUACGUGUCGCGAAAACGUAAAAGGAUGCUUGAGCUGGAGUUUAGCGAAAAUACUUGUUUUAUCCCAUUAUUGAGUUAAAUGUUUUUAAUUCGUAUUGCCACACACUCGUGUUUAUGUCACUACACCGCAACGAGGUCUUACAUAUAAGGAUUAUUAAUAAACAUUAACUCUA